GACGAACGCUGGCGGCGUGCCUAAUACAUGCAAGUCGAGCGGAUAGAAGGGAGCUUGCUCCCGGAAGUCAGCGGCGGACGGGUGAGUAACACGUGGGCAACCUGCCUGUAAGACUGGGAUAACUUCGGGAAACCGGAGCUAAUACCGGAUAGGUUCUUCCUCCGCAUGGGGGAAGAUGGAAAGACGGUUGCGGCUGGCACUUACAGAUGGGCCGGCGGCGCAUUAGCUAGUUGGUGGGGUAAUGGCCCACCAAGGCGACGAUGCGUAGCCGACCUGAGAGGGUGAUCGGCCACACUGGGACUGAGACACGGCCCAGACUCCUACGGGAGGCAGCAGUAGGGAAUCUUCCGCAAUGGACAAAAGUCUGACGGAGCAACGCCGCGUGAGCGAAGAAGGCCUUCGGGUCGUAAAGCUCUGUUGUUAGGGAAGAACAAGUGCCAGAGUAACUGCUGGCACCUUGACGGUACCUGACCAGAAAGCCACGUCUAACUACGUGCCAGCCGCCGCGGUAA
rnacentral:rRNA from 1 species